rnacentral:misc_RNA from 1 species
AGAGAGAGAGAGAGAGAGAGACACACACACAAUUUUGCAUACAAAUGACAUACAAUGCGGCUAAUUUACAGCGAUGAUGAACAGAAUAAAGUAUCAGAACUCAGAUCCCGAGCUAACUGAAGAAGGUGCUCUAUGCUGAUAUCAGGGUAGUGCUGCAAAAGCCUCAAGUUAGCAGCAAAAUCCCCACUUAACAGCCUGCUCUUCACACAUAGCAACAUUGCACAACAGAUCCGUAAAAGCAUAUCCUGAACGCCAGAAGGAUUACUCAGAAGUGAAUCCCAAAUUCUUAAGAUGGACUGGAAGUUGAAUUCUUGAGUAAGUAGUAAUGUGAUCCACCUGAAUGCAUAGAAUUGCGGCUUAACCUUGGUUGUCAACUCAAGAUGCCGCCACAAUUCCUCAUCAUUUUCUUUCAGUAAGUCUGUCAAUCGCGAAAGGGUGGAUAGGAUACCAACUGGACUAGUAUCCAACAGUGGACAAAAGUGAUCCAUUGAAUCACUCAGCAGUCGAACAAAACAGGAAAAACUAUCUGCUUCUGCAUUUGCAGC